UGGGGAAUCAUGGUCAAUGGGCGAAAGCCUGAACUAGCAACACCGCGUGUGCGAAGAAGGCCUUCGGGUUGUAAAGCACUUUUUGAGGGGAUGAGGAAGGACGGUACUCUCAGAAUAAGUCUCGGCUAACUACGUGCCAGCAGCCGCGGUAACACGUAGGAGGCAAACGUUAUCCGGAUUUACUGGGCGUAAAGCGCGUGUAGGUGGUUUGGUAAGUAGAGCGUGAAAGCUCCUGGCUCAACUGGGAGAGGUCGUUCUAAACUGCCGGACUAGAGGAUGGUAGAGGGAGGUGGAAUUCCGGGUGUAGCGGUGGAAUGCGCAGAUAUCCGGAGGAACACCAGUGGCGAAAGCGGCCUCGUGGACCACUCCUGACACUCAGACGCGAAAGCUAGGGUAGCAAACG
rnacentral:rRNA from 1 species